rnacentral:rRNA from 1 species
CAGCAGCCGCGGUAAUACCGGCGGCCCGAGUGGCGGUCACUAUUAUUUGGCUUAAAGCGUCCGUAGCCGGGUUGGGAAGUCCUCCGGGAAAUCUGGCCGCUUAACGGUCAGAAUGCCGGAGGAUACUCCCAGCCUAGGGAGCGGGAGAGGCCGAGGGUAUUCCCGGAGUAGGGGUGAAAUCCUAUAAUCCCGGGAGGACCACCGGUGGCGAAGGCGCUCGGCUGGAACGCGUCCGACGGUGAGGGACGAAGGCCAGGGGAGCAAACCGGAUUAGAUACCCGGGUAGUCCUGGCUGUAAACGAUGCGGACUUUGUGUCGGACAAGCUAUGAGCUUGUCCGGUGCCGGAGGGAAACCGUUAAGUCCGCCGCCUGGGGAGUACGGCCGCAAGGCUGAAACUUAAAGGAAUUGGCGGG